AGUGAACGCUGGCGGUAGGCCUAACACAUGCAAGUCGAACGGCAGCACAGUAAGAGCUUGCUCUUACGGGAGGCGAGUGGCAGACGGGUGAGGUAUACAUCGGAAUCUACUUUUUCGUGGGGGAUAACGUAGGGAAACUUACGCUAAUACCGCAUACGGCAUGCGGGUGAAAGCAGGGGAUCUUCGGACCUUGCGCGACUGAAUGAGCCGAGGUCGGAUUGGCUAGUUGGCGGGGUAAAGGCCCACCAUGGCGACGAGCCGUAGCUGGUCUGAGAGGAUGAUAAGCCACACUGGAACUGAGCCACGGUCCAGACUCCUACGGGAGGCGGCAGGGGGGAAUAUUGGACAAGGGGCGCAAGCCUGAUCCAGCCAUACCGCGUGGGUGAAGAAGGCCUUCGGGUGUUAAAGCCCUUUUGUUGGGAAAGAAAAGCAGCAGGUUAAUACCCCGCUGUUCUGACGGUACCCAAAGAAUAAGCACCGGCUAACUUCGUG
rnacentral:rRNA from 1 species